ACUCUCCUGUGGAAACUUGGUUGAUCGACAUUCCCUGGAGUGAGGGAUGGCAGGACGCUCAGAUCAGCAGAGCUGCUGGUUCUCCGCUGAUCACAUCCUUCCUGUGCGCUGCUGGUAUGCCACAGAGCUUGCCAGAGCCCAGUCAAGGCUGGCUGCAGCGGUCUGGACUCCUUGCUUGUCCUGGAUGGCUGACAUCGGCGAUCCAGGGACGUGGUGACAGACCAGCUCUGUGCCAUCUUUUAUCCCUGGGUUAUUUUUCAGCUGAGCUUGACUGCACGAAGUGGUGUACAGUCCAAGCAUGAAUAAGGGGCAGCAAUUUACUAAACCAGAGUUGCUGCUAAAGGCUUUCUUGAGAAACCAGCAGCGGUGUCGGUGGAGUUGAUUUCCUGAUGAAGAGGCAAUCAAGCAGCCUGUAUGUAGGGCUUGUCACCGAUGCAUGUACGUUUCUGUGCCAUCGCCCUGGGCACUCCAAGCUGAGCUCUUUCAUUUUCCCCAGGUUGGGAAGCUUGUAAGGUCUCAGAGCUCCCGGGGGCGUCUGCCCGCCGCGUUGGCUCAGCUCUGCUGGGGACGGCUCGUGCCGACAGGAGGCCUUGGAAGCGCCACGAGGCGGGGGGAAACGAUUUCUCCACGUACUGAAUUUGGCACCAGCUUUUCGUCUAAACCGGAGCCACUUUACACCUGUCUGGCAAGAUAAAGGGACUUAAAAUGAGCACCAGUGCAAUUCUAUUGCCUGCGCGGUGUACGAAGAUCCCAGCAUCAAUGAGUACCGGAGCUUCAAAGCUUUUGCUGGAAGUUUUUCCACCACCUGUGGUUCUGUUGGGCUGUUUUAUCUUCCAGGUGCGGGCGUUGAGCACUGGCUGGGCCAUCU